CAGUCGCCGCGGGAAUACGUAGGGUGCAAGCGUUAAUCGGAAUUACUGGGCGUAAAGCGUGCGCAGGCGGUUAUAUAAGACAGAUGUGAAAUCCCCGGGCUCAACCUGGGAACUGCAUUUGUGACUGUAUAGCUAGAGUACGGCAGAGGGGGAUGGAAUUCCGCGUGUAGCAGUGAAAUGCGUAGAUAUGCGGAGGAACACCGAUGGCGAAGGCAAUCCCCUGGGCCAGUACUGACGCUCAUGCACGAAAGCGUGGGGAGCAAACAGGAUUAGAUACCCCCGUAGUCCCUGUCUCUUAUAC
rnacentral:rRNA from 1 species